CAACCACAACUCGAAAGCGUGCUUAAUUGCAUCGCUGACGGAGAAUGAGCGCUCUCGCGGUUCGCAAGACGCUUUAAAGUGAGCGAGUGACUUGACAUCUGUCGAAAGAUAGGUUCCUGUCUGCGGUGACGAGGAUAACUUCGCAUUCAUUUGCGAACCCUUCCAUCGUGACUGUGGGCAGAGAGCUGUCUGCGAUGGCGGUCGCACUGUCACGGCCCUUCUGCGACUCAUCUGUCGUGGUGAACGCAGAACUCUAAUUUGAA
rnacentral:misc_RNA from 1 species